UGUUCUGAAUGUCCCACAUGUUCUCAUCCCGACUCGUCACAUGUUGCCGCUUUACAGUGGACUUCUACAAGUUACGCUCCAGCGUUCCCAUCUUAUCUUCCUGCUUCAUGAUGUUUGUUUGGAGACCUCCAGGUUUCUGUGUUUCUGACGACGGCGAACACAUGUGAGCGCCGCGCGGACUCCACUCCAACUAAAUCCUCUUUACUGCCGCUAUCAGGAAGCCCAUCACAAGCAUAAAUGUUGGCACUUUGUGUUUCUGAAAACCACAGAUGUGUUACAUUUGUACAUUAUUUUGUAGCAGAUACAUUGAAUCUUUUAUCAUGUAAUAUUGCUUUUUUGCUCUUAUUGUUAAUGUCUCCUGCAGUCAUCCUGCUGUUCUCUGCUACAAACCCACAGAAGACUACAUGUCAUGUU